CGCCGUCGACCCCACGCCACGUAGAGGUGAAGAUACGCAGGACGUCCUCUAAAGCAACUUCCGUGGGUGCCAGGUUAUGGGCUGGGGGCGGUGCUGACCUUGAGAGAGCGGAGGAAGCGCAGGCGCAGCACAGUUUAAACUUGGUUUUGUGGGGGGACGAACAGCGUGACAAUUAAAGAAGAUGUAGGAAUCGUAAGUACUGACAGAAUAGCUGGAGGGACGGUGGGACUGGAAAAUAUUUUGUGAAACAGAUCCUGCUGAGGAUGAAUCCAGAACUUCCUGAAGGGUUCCGCUUCUGCUGUGUAGGGACAAGGUUGUAAAUAGACAAGCCACAGGGCACCUGCAAAUGGUAAGUGUGGUAGAGAGGAGCUGGAAUUGUCUGUUGGUGUAUCUGUGGGAAGCAGCUGCUAUCCUUGAGGAAGAAAAGAUGGAGAAGGUAAGUGGCUAUCAACCUGUCAGAGACAACAUUCUGUGAAGUUGUACUCUUUGAUUUCUGACACUGUGGUUCUUAAUGUCUGUCCUAAACCUGGCAGUCAUUGAGGUUCGCAAAGUAUCUCCUUCUAUGUGACAGUAAAACUGGAAUUACUAUCAGAAUGGAAUCCAUUCCUGCCAGAGUAAAACCAUGAAAAGAAAUCGCAGUUUUGAUUAUCUGCUUAUCAUUUUUAAUAGAUCACGGAGUUCGGUGUUCCUUAUUUGGUGUAUGGCAAGUUGAUAAAUAAUUCUUGAUUAAUAUCCUUUAAUGUUCUAUUUCACACAGUUUUCUCAAUUACAUGUGAAAAAUCUGUUAUAUAAGUAAUGCUAUUUAAUGAUUAAAAUGGAUAUAUGUUUUAA
rnacentral:antisense_RNA from 1 species